rnacentral:tRNA from 1 species
ACCUGGGUGGCUCAGUGGUUGAGCAUCUGCCUUUUGCGCAGAUUGUGAUCCCAGGUU